rnacentral:lncRNA from 1 species
CAUGGCACCUGGGAGAAGGGACAGAGAAAACAGAGCAGAGAACAGCAGUUCUGAAGAAUCUGAGGGAUUAUUUUACCCAAAAAAAUGAUUGAGGUUCCAGGAUUCUACAUUUGGAUGAGUGAGGCAAUCAACUUUGAAUCUUAUAUUGAGUAUUAAUUUAUUUUUAUUUUUGGAGACUGCUUAAAAGAAAAUUGAGAACAUUUACUUAACAGAGGUUCUCACAUGUUUAUAAGGAAGGCCCUACCUAUAGCAAAAAGAUGUACUAGAAGACUUUCCAAGACAAUUUUCAACAUUUUGAUGGACUCAAAUCACUUUGAUGGAUAUGAUGUUUUUUAAAUCAACUUUAACUUACAAUGAUAAAUACAAGAUAUCACAUCUUAUAAUAUG